rnacentral:rRNA from 1 species
UACGUAGGGUGCAAGCGUUGUCCGGAAUUAUUGGGCGUAAAGAGCUCGUAGGCGGUUUGUCGCGUCGAAUGUGAAAACCCGGGGCUCAACCCCGGGCCUGCAUUCGAUACGGGCAGACUAGAGUUCGGUAGGGGAGUCUGGAAUUCCUGGUGUAGCGGUGAAAUGCGCAGAUAUCAGGAAGAACACCAGUGGCGAAGGCGGCUCACUGGUCCGGUACUGACGCUGAGGAGCGAAAGCGUGGGGAGCGAACAGG